rnacentral:rRNA from 1 species
UACGGAGGGGGCAAGCGUUGUCCGGAAUCAUUGGGCGUAAAGCGCGUGUAGGCGGCUGAGUAAGUCUGCUCUGAAAGCCCGGGGCUCAACCCCGGGAGGCGGGUGGAUACUGCUCAGCUCGAGUCCGGAAGAGGCGAGUGGAAUUCCUGGUGUAGCGGUGAAAUGCGCAGAUAUCAGGAGGAACACCAAUGGCGAAGGCAGCUCGCUGGGACGGUACUGACGCUGAGACGCGAAAGCGUGGGGAGCAAACAGG